rnacentral:rRNA from 1 species
UACGUAGGGUGCAAGCGUUGUCCGGAAUUAUUGGGCGUAAAGAGCUCGUAGGCGGUCUGUCACGUCGGCUGUGAAAACCCGAGGCUCAACCUCGGGCCUGCAGUCGAUACGGGCAAACUAGAGUACUGCAGGGGAGACUGGAAUUCCUGGUGUAGAGGUGAAAUUCGUAGAUAUCAAGCGGAACACCGGUGGCGAAGGCGGCCUUCUGGACAGUGACUGACGCUGAGACGCGAAAGCGUGGGGAGCAAACAGG